GAGGGGGGGGGAAAGCCUCAUGUGGCCAGCAACUUCUUUGCGAAGAGCCAGGCUAAGCAUGCUCAGCCAGGAGCGGGAACAAGAAGAUGGAUAACAGAAGAUAGCACUAAAGACAACAAAGAAUCAAUGCAUUAUCUCUCCAAAAAUUAAUUUCAAAUAAGAGCCAAAUGAUUAUAUUCUAAAUUUAGCUGUAAUUUUUAGAAUUGUUUUGCCAAAAAAGGUAGAAAGAACAUAUUCUCUGCCUUGUUUAAUUCCCUAAAUGCUUAUAAAGUGUCUACUAUCUAUAAAGAAAUAUUUUUACUUGUAGCACAUGCCAGAAAAUUUACUUCUAGGAAAUUGUUUGUUAAAAGCUGAUGAAUCCCAGAAAACAAGCUCAGCCAGACAUCAUCGAAAAUUGCUCUCUUAUCUUGCCCCAAUCCAACCAACUUCAGCAAGCACGAUGAAUUGUCAAUGCUGUUAUUGUUAUUAUCAUUGAAAUGUAUUAGCAAUAAAAUAACUCUGAAUAGUAAUAAA